CCCCGUUCGUCUAGCGGGCUAGGACGUCGGCCUCUCACGCCGGUAACACGGGUUCAAAUCCCGUACGGGGUACCAC
rnacentral:tRNA from 1 species